GAAGGACCGGCCCUCGGGAAGAGGAGCAGGUGUGGGAGCUGGGGGAAGUGCCGGGGCUCCCCAGAGCAGGCCAUGUGCCUUGCUGGGUGGCCGGACGGCCUGGACCUCCUUCUGCAGGGUCUUCCCUUGCCCAGCCGGGCUCAGCUUCCUGGGCAGAGACGGCGCUCUCUGUAGCUGGAGCUCCACAACAGGCAGCUGGUGAAUGCUCCCAGGAGACGUAGAAGGGGUCCUGAGGUGACCGGGGGCAGCUGAGAGGUAGGCCCCUCGGGUCCCCAGUCUGACUUCCUUCCUGCCAGCUCAGCAGGUGGCCCAGGCCUGCUGUCCCCAGCCUCCUCUCCUCCCCCCUUGCAGCUGAGGCCAGGUCAUCCCCCACCCCCCACCCCAGGGGCACCUGGCCCAGCUCUCCGGUUUGCACCCAGGCCUGUUUAUUGGGAUGCCAGGGCUGCUGAGGGGUGGCAGAGCCGCUCUGGGGGACCCAGGGCCUGCUGCCAUCUUCCUUCCCUUCCACCAGCCCCUCCCCGCCC
rnacentral:lncRNA from 1 species